rnacentral:rRNA from 1 species
GACGUAGGGUGCGAGCGUUUGUCCGGAUUUAUUGGGCGUAAAGAGCUCGUAGGCGGCUCGUCGCGUCGACCGUGAAAACCCGCGGCUUAACCGCGGGCUUGCGGUUGAUACGGGCGGGCUAGAGUUCGGUAGGGGAGACUGGAAUUCCUGGUGUAGCGGUGAAAUGCGCAGAUAUCAGGAGGAACACCGGUGGCGAAGGCGGGCGCCUGGGUACGAUACUGACGCUGAGGUGCGAAAGCGUGGGGAGCAAACAGG